UUGUGAUUCAUAUAAAAAACCCUAGUUAAGAAGGGUGUGGAAGGAAAACCAGAUUCAGAGCCCCGAUGAGCAUCAGUGAUACUCUUGAAGAGCUCCCAGUGCUGCGUGUGAUAUGGACCUGCUAACCAAUAAGGUUAACAACGCAAUAGGGGAGAUGAUCAGAGGUGAUAUCAGUGACCAAGGAAAAAUAUGGAUGAGGGUAGACCAAGGAAGAAUGCUAUCAGUUCCUUCAGUCAUCUUCUAGAUAUUUGGACUCAGGUCCCAGGAUAACAGUCACAUGCACACGAAUGUCCUGGUCUCCUCAUCUGUGACCUUCCACACUGCCACUUGAUUACAUUCUCUUUAGCAGGAGUUAAAAGUUUUGAUCAGAAAUGAAAGGUUGAACAUAAGAUUUUAGGCCUGAGGCCUUCUUAAUUUAUCUUACUGCCAUGUGUCCCUAACCUUCUUGUCCGUUAAAUU
rnacentral:lncRNA from 1 species